AAUUUGCUUCCUAACUCUCUCUCGUCUUCCUUUUCCUUUGUUUUUCAUUUUAUUUCUGCUUUUUACCAGAAAUUGCUCACAUCCUCUCAAUUCUAGCAUCCUCUCUCCUCUUUCUCCCUUAAUUUCCUCCCCUCCAUAUCUCCAAUUCUCAAUUGCAUGAUGAAAAUCAGAAUUUCUGGCGGUGGUAAUUCUCUCACUUCACUCCAUUGUAGGAACUUCUGAGCUUUUCCCUCCAUUGAAGCAGCUUCCGAGAUAAGGCAUUGGGUUUGUGGAAUUUGGGGGUAAUUUCUCUCGCUCCAUUGAAGGCAUGAAGCACAUACUCUGAAUUCUCCAUUGAUGCGGCUUCUGAGCUGUCCAUCAGUUGAAGCAACUUCUGAGAUUAUCACUGAGAAGAACCACUGUGAGAUCAGCAAGUACCUCUUCCAAGGAUGAUAAUUUAAUGUUACUGAGGGAGAUUUUUCUCUUUCCUCUUUCUUUCUCUUUCUCUCUCUGAUUUCGUCGAUUGUGGCUUUGAGCUGUGCUCUAUUCAAAGCAGCGUAUUGGGAAAUCUACUAUAUGAUACUGAUGAGUAAUUGUCUGAUGUGGACGAUGAACUUUUGAAGCUGCAAACUCAAUUUGACAAUGCAGACUUGCCCCUUAGUGUUGAGGUAUCAGUUCCCUGGUUGCAGGUUCCUUCUUCAAGUGAGAAGCCUUCUGCUGCUGGAACAUCAACUUUUCCAGUCCAGGAAGAGAAAGUCUUGGCGCCUAGCAGCUCUAAAGCCGAGUCAAGUUCAAUUGUUAUGGACCAGCAGUUGGUUAAGCAUUUACUAUAGGAAGUUUCUAGAUUGGAAGCUGAGAUCAAAAGUCGAGAACCUUCAUCUUCAUCAACUUUAAAGGCACUUCUGAUUGAGAAAAACGUACAAAUCCAGAAGGUUUUGGGGUUGGUUCGUUUGGGUCAGUCUCAUUUCGAGUAAUGAAGGGAAUUCAAUAUAGGCUACCAAUGCCGAUGCCGUCAUGUCCACCACUCAAGGUUCUCUUCUUCUGUUUUGGGGUUGGUUCGUUUGGGUCAGUCUCAUUUCGAGUAAUGAAGGGAAUUCAAUAUAGGCUACCAAUGCCGAUGCCGUCAUGUCCACCACUCAAGGGAUUUGUAUCAAUAGCAGAGGUGAAUACCAAAGGUAUAGUCCGUUGUUGUCCUAUCAAAUAUACGUUCAACACUCAUGGUUGCUCAUCUAAAUGAGAAUCUCCAUGAUAUUGGGGCUUAUUCGGUUGGACUCAGCCAAGAAGUCAACCUCAGCAAUUUUGAUAGAGUUUCAAGGUUAUUGAGGAGGUUCUCCAGCAUUAGCAAAUGAGAAUGGCCAAGAAAAUCUGCAACUAGAGCCAAUUGGAUAAGGAUUACAAGCAAAGGUGCAGUGAAGGAUGAAGCUGUUGAAAUAUCUGAGGAGAACUGACUGGGAGUCCUGUUGCUUUGUUCUUUCAAAACUUGGCCUUUGUGACAACCCUGAUUACAUGAAUUAUGAUUUUAUACAGAUUACUAAGUUUUCAUUGCAGUAAUGAAUGUUUUGCCUUUAAUUUUCUUGCUCCUAUAUUCAGUUCAAGAAGUCCUUUGUUGAUUUAAAAUCAAAGGUGCUAAUGGUAGCUGAGAUUAGAAAUAUUAAUGUAUCCUUCCAUUUUGUCUUAAUUUUGUAUACCACAAGGUGAUUCAAAGUUCCCAUGUAAUAAAGCUUAGUGUAGCAAUCAGGCCGACAAAUGUUUGAUUUUUUGGGGGAGAAAUGCCCUUUUGUUAACAUAGCAUUUGCUUUGGCUACUUUAUCUUACAUUGUUAAGGAAAGAGGAUGUAAUACAGAGUUAUUUUCCACUAGAAUGGUACUUCA